UUGUUUAAUUUCAGAAGGUCUUGUUGACAUAGAAGCUGACUUGCUGCUAACAUGGAGACAUUGAGGGACAAUUUGGGAAGAGAAAAUGUAAACAUGACAUAGUGCACGAGAACGAUAAUAUUUUCUCCAAUAACAGGGAAAUCUCAUAUUUCAUAUACUUGGGGUUUGAAAAGCAUAUAAUUUUCAAAUCACAGACUGAAAACACAAGUUUCCCAUAAAUAUACUUAAAGCAUGUUUGAUAAUAAUUUUGAAAAAUAAUUUUCGACAAUAGUUAUUUAAAAUUGUUUUUUGUUGUUUAUAACAUAAAAAAAAUAUAUAUAUAAAAAAAACUUGUUUGACAACCUAAAAUAUUUUAAAAAUAAUAUUUAUAUUUAAUAUUUUAUUUUUAAUAAUUUUAUAUAUUUGGAUAAUUACUUUUAAAAAUAACUGUAAAAAAAAUAAGUGAAAACAAGUAAAGAUGUUAUCCGAAAAAAUUAUAUUUUUUAUUUUUAAAAACAUAUAACAUUUUUUCUUAUUCUCAAACAAGUUUUCCUGUUUUUUACGAAGAAAAAAUUAUUGUCAAACAAUCCCUUAGAUACUUGUGUUUUAUUAAGUGGUGAAAUAUCUUCAUAUGAAUUAUAUAGCAACUCAUAAGAGUAGCAGAAAAAGAGACAAUUUUAAAAGCGCAUAUGACAAGUGGAAAUUAUUAUAAAAAAAAAAAAGAGGCUAUUUUAAGAAUGGAUUUGAUGUGUCACAAAGACCACUAAAAUUUGGUGUGAAUAUAUUUAAAUAUAUAUAUAUAUAAGUUUUAAAUUUUGUUGAUUAGCAUAUCUAUAAAAAAAUUUAUUUAUAAAAUUUAAUUUUUAGAGAAAUUUUAGAUAAAAAGAUUUUAUAUCUAUUCAAUCAAAAAUUGAAACAGUAAAUGUAUUUACUCUAAGCUAUGGUGUGUGAAUUAAACCAACCUUCAAAUAAAAAUAGAAAAAAAAAAGUGAAUCAUAAUAAAAAGGAAAGUAGUCAAAAUCAAAAGGAGAAUCAAAUUUGAUUUCCAUAUUAGUGAUUUUUUUAAAAAAAUUCUAUUAUCAUUGUAAAAAAUAAUUCAAAUACAUUAAUAAAUUGAAAAUAAACUUAACUCUUAUUCUCAUUUUUUAUUCCAAUGUUUCAAAUAUAACGUCCAUUUAUUGAUUAGUGUUGCCAAAUCCGAACAAUUGCAUAGCAAUACAAAGAAAUAGAAUUGAGCAUAUAAAACACAAAUUUCUCAAUAAAUAAAACCAUAGCGAAAGUGCAAGUAUAUAAAUAACAUCAAUUUUAUCAUACAAUCUUAGCCAACACUUUUUUUUUUUAUAGUAUCAAAAAGCUACUGAAAAAAAUAUUUCUUAUCACCAAGAAAUUACUUUUUUUAAAUGAAAAAAUUAUUUUCAUUGAAUGAAUACAUAAGUCGUAUUUGGAAUAACUUCUUGUUCUUAAUUUUAAUUAAAAGCUAAAAGUCACAAAUUUUUAAAAAUAAUAUUGAUAUUAUAAAAAAUGUAUUAAACAUAAAAAAAAAACUUUUUAAAUAAGUCAAAAUAAAUCUUUAAAAAAACAUUUUCUUGAUUUUCAUAUUAUGUUAUUUCUUAAGUUAUAAAUUAUUUAAAUAAAAUGAGCGGCAUAAAAAUUUUUAUUGAGCUUUAAAAAUGGUUUUUGACUACUCAAAUCUACCCAAUCGGAACCAUAGUGCCCGAUAACUUGGGGCUAGAAAAAUUGGCAAAAGGAAUUAGGUUAAAGUUCAGUACAUGCUACAUGCAUCUUGUUAAAGGCCAUAAAAGCAAUUCCAUAAUAUAUCACAUUUGGAGUUUUGGAUUUGGGUUUUUGAUCUAAAAUGAGAGAAAUUUUGGGUUGUCGAAAUUGAAAGAUGAGAGAAAGCUUUCAAAUGAGUAAAUUGAAAACUUGCAGAUUGUGUGUGUUUGUGUUUUUUUUUAGAAGUUAUAGACUAAGAUUUUAGUAUUUUUUUUUUCUUAAUUUCAGUGGUUCUGUUGAUAUGGAGGUUGGAAUGAUGCUGAGCUGGAGACACGGAUGGACAAUUUAGGCAUAGAAGAUGGAGCCGGCUCAGAGGGCACAAAAACAAUAAUACUUUUCAUAUUAAAAAUUGAUUUUCAUAUUAAAUUUUAUACAUCUAUUUUAAAACAAUUAAAAUUUUCUACAAUAUUCAAUUAUAAUAUAAGUACUGCCUCUCACGGGUCGAUACUAAUGACGAGUGCAUGAAAUUAUUAUAAAUAUCUCAUGGAAUAAAGAAGAGGAGAGAGAGAGAGAGAGAGAGAGAGAGAGAGGGAGAAGAAGAAGACAACCAAAAAAGAAAAAGAAGACAGCAUUGUAAACAUAGAAAAUGGAAAGUAUUGGAAAUAUUUCAUGAAAUCGGAGUAAACAACAAAACAAAAUAAAGUACUUUUCAUUCCUGUUUCCUACUUCUGUCAUAAAGUAUAAAGUAUGGAUAGAGAUGAGACGAAGGAGGAGAAGGAGGAGCACUCAGCUUUCACCGGUACUGCAGUGUGUUGUGGUGGUGUAGCAUAUGGUAGGAUGUCAUUCUUGCUCCAAAAGUGUGGGCAGAUCCAUUUUUAUUUUCCUUUUUUCAUCUCUGUCCUCACUGAUUCGUUUUGGGUUUCCAUCAAUAUUUAUCAGUGGGCUUGGUGUUAGUCAAAAGCCACCAAUUUUUCUUUCCUUUUUUUUCCCAUAUAUUAGAAUGAAAUGUUGUUGUCCAUUUUAGGGGAAGGCGUUAUGCUGAACUGAACUGUGCGAGGGGAAUGAAAAUUAAUUUAGGGGUUUUCUUCCUCCUCUAUUUUUGGCUCUCUUUCAUGAGGGUACAGAUUGUCUUUUUUUCUCUCGGAGUGUUUGGAUUGUUUCAUUCCAUUUAACUAUUUUUGCAGCAUAUUCCGAGUGUUAUAGGUAUUGGGUAAUCAGUAAUACAGAAAAUGUAAUAUAAUUUUGUACUAUGUAUUUUUGGACUUGGGGUAGGAUGAGUUUAAUUUAUGUAGAUUCAUGUCACUAUUCUCAGCCUUCAAUGCAUUGAUUUCUCCAUAUUUUGAUAUAUAUAUAUACAAACUGCAAUGGGAAUAAAAAGGAUGGUUGUUUCUUCAAGAAUUCUGAGAAAAAAAAAGGGGGUAGGGGGGCAAGAGAGGUUUGAGGAGGCCAUUGGGACUUUUAUCAGUUCUGUGUCUUUUGUUUUCAAGUUGUAAGAAGUCCCUGUUAUGCCAUUUUCUAUGUUGUUUGUGUCCAAUUUUCAGUUGAAAGAGUGGUAGAUUAGAGAAGGAGGAAUGGCUCAGACAUCUGGAUGCAGCUCUGGAGAUGGUAGAUGGUCUCUCAAGGGAAUGACUGCUCUCAUAACUGGUGGAACUAAAGGAAUUGGGUUUGUGAUGUUACCUGUAUUCUGUCUUUGGUUUGGACUACACCUUCCUUCCCAUAUAUAAAUGUAUGUAUCAAUUAUGCAGGCAUGCAAUUGUGGAAGAACUGGCUGGACUAGGAGCAACCAUACACACAUGUUCUAGAAAAGAAACCGAGCUCAAUGAAUGCUUGAAGGAUUGGAAAGCUAAAGGUUUUGGAGUGAGUGGUUCAGUGUGUGAUGUAUCCUCUCGGGCCCAAAGGGAGAAGCUAAUGCAGACUACCUCUUCUGUGUUCAAUGGGAAGUUGAAUAUCCUUGUAAGUUCCCCUAGCCUGUAAAGUUCCAACCUGUGAUCUUACACAUAAUUUGUUGAACUUAUUACAAUUGAGUUCCCCUGCUUGAAUUUUUGUUGGAUUCAAAUCAACAAUGCUGCUAUAAGUAUUCAGAAACCAACAGUAGAGGUCACAGCUGAAGAGUUCUCAACAAUCAUGGCCACAAAUUUUGAAUCUGUGUAUCAUCUGUCCCAAAUCGCACACCCCCUUUUAAAGGCAUCAGGAACCGGAAGCAUUGUAUUCAUCUCCUCUGUUUCCGGCAUAGUGGCACACAAGAAUAUCUCUGCUUAUUCAGUAACCAAAGGUAUUUCAUCACAUGAUCCAUGGUAUAUUCCAAGUGCUAGGAGUAAAUUCCUAUUUACAAGAGCAAUACUGAACAAGAGAAACAUAUAGAAUUUAUAGCGGUUCUCUUCUAAUGCUGUAGCUCCUUGGUACAUCAAAACUCCAAUGGUGGAGCCGGUAAUUUCUAAUUUCCCUUCACAUCAUUUAGUUGCUCGAAUUCCCUUCUUUUUUUCUUGGUCUGGGAAAAUAGAAUAAUUGACUCGUCCUUCCUUCUCUGUCUUUUACAUUCUCUGGGUUCCAGAUGCUCACUAACCAAGCCUUUCUGGAAGAGGUGAUAAAUCGAGCUCCACUUCGUCGUGUGGGAGAUCCAAAGGAGGUGUCAUCUUUGGUAGCAUUCCUCUGCCUACCGGCAUCAUCUUACAUUACUGGACAGAUUAUUUGUGUUGAUGGUGGCAUGACUGUUAAUGGUUUUGAGUCAAACCUGCUCUAGGAACAUCAUAUGUGAUGGUAUUAUAGCCCUAAUUUUGCUGGCAUGUAUGGAGACUCUUUCAAACAUCUUAGCUUCCUCUACUGCUUCCAUGCCUGGAUCCUUUCUUUUUCCUGAAUAAUCUGCUUGUCAUGUCAAAUCUUCAGUUUUUUUGGUGUGGGGUUCCCUUGAAAACCUUGCUGCAUGAUGCUUAUAAUAAUGUUUGGAAAGUUUGCUAAUUUUUAUUUGGGUUCAAAUUUUAAUUUUUCAAAAAGUUUCUUAUUAUUUGAUGAGAUUCUUGUGAAGGGUGUUUUUAUAAGGAUUUUAAUUCCAUACAUUAAUCAUACAUCUUUAAUCUCAAUACCAUUGAAAUAUAUAUCCAAUCCUUUGUUGUUCUUUCAUUUUUUUGUAACUUAAAUGUAGUAGGAUCGGAAAUAUGCAAACACUUUCUACUUUUGACCAUUUGCUUUGCUAAAUUAGACCAACUUUUCAUAAUAGUAUUUCUUCAUUUUCAUUACAAUGAUCAUGCAUGGAUAUGGAAAAACUAAUCGGACUCUAAUGUCGUUCAAAUGCAUUUCAUAGAUCAAUCUUCAUCAUCAUAUCAUAAUUUCCAAAACUUGUUAGAACUUCUAAACUUAGUCAAUAUGUAUAGACAUGAUAUCCUCCAUGAUUUUUUUUACUGGAACGAAAAAAAGUCAUACAUUCUAUACUUGAUCCCUAGAAAAAAAAAAAAAAAAAGUCUUGCAAAAAUAUUAGGGUUGCACAAAGUUUGGUUGUUAGAAUAAGUAAAAAUGAUGUGCAUCAAAAAAUGUCUUUGAGAAUGGCAAAUAUGUGAGAGUGCUUUAAAAACUCAAAUAGCUUCAAAUGAAUUUUAAGGAAAUGAUUCCAACAUAUAUUCAUCUUCUUAUACCUUUCUGUGCUUCUCCACCAUUUGUAACGAUUUCCUCACUCAUUUGUAAUCCUAAUAAACCUUCCGGACUAUUUUAAAAUUUGUCAUUAUAUUUUAAGCUAAGCUCACCAUCUAUAGUAUCAAAAAAAUUUCUCCUUAAUCCAUGUGGGAUAUGUAUAAUGAAUAAUAUUUGCUCAAAGGUUAAAUAUAUGAAAAUAAUUAAGAUUCAAUCACAUAAAAAUUACAUAUAGCAAGUAGGGAUAACAAUUUUGAUACUAAUAUGAUAAAACGACUCAAAAAUUACAUGGAUUUUAGCAGUUUUGGGUUAAGUAUAAUCAUAUUUAUGUUAUAAUUGUGUAAACACAUUUAUUAAACCAAUGAUAUUGGAAUGUGACUAUUCAACUCAUUUAACCCAUUUAUUUAUUUAGAUCAAAACACAUCUAUGAUAUGAUUAUGAGAACUAAUUUAUGAUUGACAUAACCAAUUUAUAACUUAUUAAUUAAUUCAUAUAAAUUUAUUAAUUUUAUAGAUAUUUAAAAAAUAUUAAAAAUUUAAAACACUUUUUCAAUUCUAAAGAUGUCCUAUAAAACACCAAGGAGGUCACCCUUAUUUAUAUGUGAAAUUAGGGAAUUAAAUUUGAAAUAUCUGAUAUUUGAUUACUUAAUUUAAAGAAUUUGAUUUCUUAAUUUCAAUAACUUUUCACCCUCAUUUAAGAAAUUUGCCAACAAUCAAAUGUUUUUUCUAACUUCCUUUUUACUUCAAUUUCCCAAUUUAUUUCUCCUAUUUGGGAAAUCUAUCAAUAAGAAAAUAUUUCUCUCUAAUUCCUUUUUAACUUUAAUUAUUUUAUUUUAUUUUAUAAGACUAGAUUUUGUAACUGUUCAAAUUUUACCGUGUGUUAUUUUUAAAAUUGUAUAUCGCAUGUUCAAUAUAUAGAAUUCAUGACUUAUGAAAUCCAAAUUUUAUUGAACUAAAGAGUUAUAACUUUAGUGACAAAUUUUAUAGUAAUUUAAUCCUUCAUUUAUUUUUAAGCCUACAUAGCUCAACAAGUUGAAUAUAUUUUUAUCGUGUUAAUGGGUUAUCAGUCUUGAUUUAAUUUAAUUUAUCAAAUAGGUUAAAUAAAUGAUUCCCAAUUUGCCACCACAAUAACAAGAGACAACAGACAGAAGGGAAGGGAAACUAAACUACGUAAUGUGACUUUUCCUUUCAUAUUGCUUACUAUACUUGGUGUCUCUUAAUUUGUUUUUAUUCUAAGAUAUUAAUAAUAUGAUUUGAUUGAUUUAUACCCCAUAUAUGUCAUUUGAGGGAUUGAAAAUAUUGCAAAUUCAUAAUUAAAUUUAAAAGAUAAAUAUAUAUAUAUAUAUAUAUGAAUAAAAAAAAUCAUCUUUGUAUAAAAUAAUAAUUAGUAUAUUUUUAUCAUUUUUAUGUUAGAAGUUAAUAGAAAAUAUAUUUUUUAUUUUUCAAUAAUUUAUACAGAAUUAUAAUAAAAAUUGUAUGCUAGAUAAAAUUAUAUUUUAUAAUUUGUAAUAAUUUAAUUAUAUCAAUUUAAUAUUUUGAUAUUCGUCAUAAAUUAUAUAGAAAUAUUGGAGUGCAAAUACUAAACUACAUAAUAACAACAGGACACCUUAUUUAUCCAAAAUUUCAAAUUUUAAAUAAAAAAUAUUAAAAAAAUAAUUUUUAAAUUUAUUAAAUAUUUAUUUUUGUAAAAAAGUAAUUAAUAAAAAUUUUAAAAUUUUAAAUAUGAUUAAUGAGAUUAUUAUGGGGGUAUUUAUUACUAAUAUUUAUUAUUAAAAAAAUAAAAUAACAAUAUGAUAUUAAGAUUAUAUUUUUAUAAAUAUAGCAAAAUGAGAUUAUUCUAAAUUCAGUGAUGAUAACAUUAUAGUAAAAAUAAGGAGUGAUAUAAUUAUAAAUAUUUCACUAAGAGCAUAAAAAAUAAAAAUAAAAUAUGGUAAAUAUAGCGAGUAAUAUUGUUACCAUAAAUAUCUGGUGACACGACGACAGAUAUAUGAGUAAAGAAAAACCUGGGUAUUCUACAUAUAGAGAUUCAGAUACCAUUGCCUAUGUCAUGAAAUCAGAGUCCACAAGAAAACAUAAAAUGCUAUCGAUCCAUCGCUGUUUCUUGCUUCUGUUAUAAAUUAUGGAUACAAACAUAGAUGAAGAUGAGAAGUAGAAGGAGAAGAAACACUUAGCUUUCAAGGAGUGGUAGAGUAGAGGAGGAGACAUGGCUCAGACAUGUGGGUGCAGCUCUGGAGAUGGUAGAUGGUCUCUCAAGGGAAUGACUGCUCUUGUAACCGGUGGAACUAAAGGAAUUGGGUUGGUGUUACCUGUUUUUAUGUCUUUGGGUUUGGACUAUACCUUCCUAUAUAUAAACGUAUGUAUCAAUUCUGCAGGCAUGCAAUUGUGGAGGAACUGGCUGGAUUAGGAGCAACCAUACACACGUGUUCUCGAAAAGAAACCGAGCUCAAUGAAUGCUUAAAGGAUUGGAAAGCUAAAGGUUUUGGAGUGAGUGGUUCAGUGUGUGAUGUAUCCUCUCGGGCCCAAAGGGAGAAGCUAAUGGAGACUGUCUCUUCUGUGUUCAAUGGGAAGCUGAAUAUCCUUGUAAGUUCCUCUAGUCUCUAAGGUUCCUAUCCAUGAUAUUCCACAUACUUUGUCGAACUUCCU
rnacentral:lncRNA from 1 species